rnacentral:piRNA from 1 species
UGCAUGGCCUCUCAUUUCUAAAU